rnacentral:rRNA from 1 species
GUUGUUGCGGUUAAAAAGCUCGUAGUUGGAUCUCGGCAAGCAGGGGGUGGUUCGCUCUUCGACGGUACUGCCCCAUUUGCCCGUGUGAUUGCAGGAGGUUUGGGGGUGCCCUUCAUUGAGUGACCCCGGGCGCCUGCAGGUUUACUUUGAAAAAAUUAGAGUGCUCAAAGCAGGCUUACACGCUUGAAUAUUCGUGCAUGGAAUAAUGGAAUAGGAACUCGUUUCUAUUUUGUUGGUUUUCGGAAAUCGACUUAAUGAUUAAUAGGGACAAUUGGGGGCAUUAGUAUUCAAACGACAGAGGUGAAAUUCUUGGACCGUCUGAAGACUAACUACUGCGAAAGCAUUUGCCAAGAGUGUUUUCAUUAAUCAAGAACGAAAGUUAGAGGUUCGAAGGCGAUCAGAUACCGCCCUAGUUCUAACCAUAAACGAUGCCAGCUAGCGAUCUGC